UUUGAUUUAAAAAAUUAAAAGAGGGUGAUGUGACAUCAAACAACAAAUUUUGAAAUUUUUUUUAUUUAGAAAAUGAAAAAGAGGCGAUGGGGGACGGAAAACAAACCAGAGAAAACGAGAGAGGGAGAGAGCAGACCAAAGAGGGCUUGGAAGAAGAUUUGUCAUGGUUACAACACAAGGUGCUUGGCCGAGUCAGGGCCUGCGAUUGAUGAAUUUUGAGUUGGGUAAUUUCCUUUCGGACGAUUGAGCUAACUUUUCAAAGAGAUGUGGGUUCUUCAAUUGUAAACCAAGAUUCAUACACUGUUGAGCAUGGCUCUUUAUAUCAUCCUCCGAUUAGCGGGACCAAGGAUCGGGGGAUGGCGGGGACCUCCCUAUAUGCAAUAUAAUUCCUUUAAAAGUUGGUUCCUAGAUAUUUUUUAGAUGUAUUAAAAUAUAUGUUAAAUGUACAAAUUUUAAAUUUUCGUAUUGUACUUUAUUGCCCUGAGAUUAUUUGUUAUUGUUUUACGUCAGUAAGUUUAUGCCCCUUAUUUCCUAAUUUGGGGGCGCGACAUAUGGAGUAUCAAA